rnacentral:lncRNA from 1 species
UGGAAGGAAAAGAAUUAUAGAAAAAAAAAAGCUUUCAACCUCUAUCUGUAUCUCUUACUUUCUCUUGUCAUCCAUUGCUUUUGGAAUCGAAAAACUCUAAGGCACCCCCAGUUUUUGGUGAAGGAGUUUUGAAAAAUUUUCAAGAUCUAGAGAGUGAAGUGAAACAGUAAGAACAAAACAAAGUUGGUGGUCUUGCAGAGAUUUGGAAACUAGCCCAUCAUAUGUGUUGGUUUUGUAAAACUUUUACAAAGGCUGUAAAGGGUUGGUGGUGGGUUUGUUUCUCAAUUAAAGAGGAACAAAAGCGAAGAAGAAAAAUUUGGUGGGUCCACAUUCAAGGAUGGCUAUCCAAGGUAAGUAAUAUAAAAAAAAACCCUAACUUUUUUAAUUAGUCACUCUUUAAUUAUUUAAAUAAAAAUAUGAGUUAACCUUAAAGUAGAUAGUUAGGACUGAGUAAUACUUUGGACAAAAGGUAAUAGUACUUUAUUAUUAACUUGGACAGAUAAAUUUCUUCAUACUGACUUCUAUGUGAUUUUGCAUCAUGGAGGAACAUUUGGGGAGUGGGGUUAAUUUAAUGAAGAUAUUGAUCAUCAACAUUUUGAUAUGGAUAGGAUUUCUUUAGUUAGAUUAGACAUGUGGGUUAACAAUCUAGGUCGAAGGGAUGAUGAUGUAUUAUUGGAAACUACCUGAUAGUGAUUUCAACUCGAGGUUAAAAUUGUUAGAAAAUGAUGCUGCAGUGUUUGAAAUGGCACUACAUGCAGCAGAACUACAACAGAAAAAAGGAAGGUAGAUUUAUAUGUUAACAUUUGUCAUCGGAGGAGUUGGAUGAAGUGAUUAAUCCUAAGAGAAAAAGUUCUAUUGUGACUGAAGAAAAUGGGACUAAAGAAGCAGGUUAUAGUAAAGGAAAGAGUUUGACUGUGACUAAGGGUAAGGGAAAAGCUGCUUUUGAGUCAGAUGUAAAUGGAAUGGGUAUUGCUUGUAGGAUAAAAAAAAACCUUAUGUUUAACUAGUUUAGAGCAUUUUGAUCAAUCUCGACUAAUAAAUAUAUUAGUUGAUCAUUUUAUUGAUGAUGGAUUAUUUAAGGACAUAAUUUAUGAAAUAGAACAUACUGAAACAUCUUGCAGGACAUAUCAGAAGGAGCAAGAGGGUGAAGGAAAAAAACAGAAUAAUGUAAGAAAAGUUGUUGCUUAUGAGGAUGAGCCUGUAGGAGAUGAGAGUGACUAUGAAGAGGGUGAUGAUAGUGAUAGUGAAAGUGAAUCGAAUGGAAAUGAUGAUGAAGGUGUUGCUGCAGGAAAUGAUAAUGAAGGUGAAGCUAUAUGAGUAGAAACCUUUAUUGAGGGCGAGGCAAGAGGAAAAGAAACUACUGGUAAUGAUGACACAAUAAAAGGGCAUUUUAGUAUCCCUAGAGUUAAUGAUUUUAUAGAUAUCUUUGAUGGAGAUGAGGAUUUGAUGUAUGUGUUAAGGGAAACGGGUUAAUUAAAAGGACAAGGCAGUAAACAAGAACAAGACAAGGGUGAAAGACUCCAUUAGGUGGUAGGCCUAAACGUGGAAUGAAAAUUAAUUUAGGUGGGGUUGAUGUGACUUGUAGGGUUGAAGUUGAUCCUUAUAAGUCAGAUUAUGAUUAUUCUAAUGAGUUGCAUAUUGCAUCAGAAUCUGAAUGUGAAAAGGAGCAAAAAAGGAAAAGAGUGAGGUUUCCUACUUUUGUUGCUCAUAAGGAUAUGGUAGAACUAAGAUUUUAAGUUGGUAUGCUUUUUAAAGACAAAGAUUAUUUUAAGGAAACAUGUAAGUAAUUGGGGUAUUAUGCAUAUGUAUCAAUUAUGCUUUCCAAAGAAUGAUAACCUUGAGGGUUCGAGCUAAAUGCUACACGAGAUGUCCAUUCUUCAUUCACCCAUGCAAAUUGAAUAGAAAAGACAAUGCAAAUCCAACAUUUUAGGUUCGCUCUCAUAACAUGAAGCACACAUGUGGGAAUGUUCACAAGAAUUUCAAUGUAACUUCAAAGAUUAGCUAAGAAGUAUUUAGAUGACCUCAGAGUUGAUCCAACUUGGGAUUUGAUCCAUUUUAUUGCUAGGGUUAAAGCUAACAUGAAGCUCAACAUUGAUAGGAUGAAGGCUUGGUGAGCAAGAGACAUUGCUUUGAAGACUAAAUGGAGAUGAGGACAUGCAAUAUGCUAAAUUGUAUGACUAUAAGCAUGAGUUGUUGAGGACUAAUCCUGGAAGCACUGUUGAGCUUAAAGAACCAAAGGGAAAGUUUGAAGGUAUGUACAUAUGCUUGGAAGGAUUAAAAGAUGCUUUUAGGGAAGGCUACAGGCCUUUGGUAUGUCUGGAUGCUUGUUAGUUUAAGGGGACAUGGGGGUCAGCUCUUAAUAGCUACUGGCAUCGAUCCAAAUGAUUGUAAAGACCAAAGAAUUUGAAAAAUGGAAUUGGUUUAUUGAUCUUCUGAAACAUGACUUAGGCAUGCAUAACUCACAUCAUUAGGCUUUCAUGUCAGAUAGACAAAAGGUCAGUUUAUUUUUUAUUUUGCUAAUAUUACUUUUGAUUUAUAUAUUAUUUUUCAUUUACUGUGUUGAUAGUUAUACAUCUAUUAUUUUUGUUUUAUUGUUCUUGACUUAAGAGUAAGUGAAGGCUGUCAAGAAAUAUUUUGAAAAUUCUGAGCAUAGGCCCAGGGUGGAACUAUUAAUGAUGAAGCAAUGAGCAUAGUUACACAACCUAUUGAUUUACCCAUUAAUGACAAUCAAAGGAGUUCAAUUUAAGUUGUUGAACCAUACACUUAUGGAGGUUAAUCUGAAGCUCAGAGGCAAACUAGACAACUCAAAAAUAAAGGAAUUAAGCAUUUGGGAAGAGAGGUGCCAUCAAGAUAUACUUAACAAUUAAAAAAAAAAUCCAAGAACUGAUUUGAAGCUAUCUUUUUAUAUUUAUCCUGACUAUAAGCAUGAGUUGUUGAUGACUAAUCCUGGAAGCACUGUUGAGUUUAAGGAACCAAAAGGGAAGUUUAAAGGCAUGUACAUAUGCUUGGUAGGAUUGAAAAAAUACUUUUAGGGAAGGCUGCAGGCCUUUGGUAUGUCUGGAUGCUUGUUGGUUAAAGGAGAUAUAUGAGGGUCAACUCUUAAUAGCUACUAGCAUCGAUCCAAAUGAUUGUAUGUUUUCUAUUGCUUAUGCUUUGGUAAAGACUAAAAGAUUUGAAAAAUGGGAUUGAUCUUUUGAAACAUGACUUAGGCAUGCAUAACUCACAUCAUUGGGCUUUCAUGUCAGAUAGACAAAAGGUCAGUUUAUUUUUUAUUUUGCUAAUAUUUCUUUUCAUUUAUAUAUUAUUUUUCAUUUAUUAUGUUGAUAGUUAUACAUCUAUUAUUUUUAUUUUAUUGUUUCUUGACUUUAGGGGUUAGUGAAGGCUGUUAAGAAAUAUUUUAAAAUUUAUGAGCAUAGGCUCAUGAUGGAAAUAUUGAUGAUGAUGCAAGGAACAUAUUUAUAAAACCUACUGAUUUAUCCAUUAGCGAUAAUCAAAGGAGUUCAACUUUUGAAGCUGUUAAACCAUACACUUCUGGAGGUUAAUAUGAAGCUCAGAGGCAAACUAGACAACCCAAAGACAAAGGAUUUAAGCAUGGAAAUCCAAGACGAAGAGAGGUGCCAUCAAGAUAUAUGCAACAAUUAAAAAAAAUCCAAGAACCGAUUUGAAG